GGGCGAAUUUGUGCUUGUUUACGUCAAUGAUACAGCAACUUCACAAAGCAUGCAAAGAAACAUGUACUUUAAUCCGUGUAUCUUUUUUGACGUAAAGGGCUGAAUUGAUAAAUGUGCAAUGAAUGUAUAUAUUCCUUCAUAGCAUUAUUAGUAUUUGUACAUUAAAUAAUGUUUUAAGUAUAUAUGUCUUUUCGAAAUGUUUUUUUUUUU
rnacentral:lncRNA from 1 species